AUAGAUCAGAAAACGCUGCCUAAUGCAACUGGAAUAACUUCGUUAUUCCAGUUGCAUUAGCCAGCGUUUUCUGAUCUUU
rnacentral:pre_miRNA from 1 species